AAUGAACGCUGGCGGCAUGCCUUACACAUGCAAGUCGAACGGCAGCAUGACCUAGCUUGCUAGGUUGAUGGCGAGUGGCGAACGGGUGAGUAAUGCAUCGGAACGUGCCUUUUAGUGGGGGAUAACGUAGCGAAAGUUACGCUAAUACCGCAUAUUCUCUGAGGAGGAAAGCAGGGGACCUUCGGGCCUUGCGCUAGAAGAGCGGCCGAUGUCGGAUUAGCUAGUUGGUGAGGUAAAGGCUCACCAAGGCAACGAUCCGUAGCGGGUCUGAGAGGAUGAUCCGCCACACUGGGGCUGAGACACGGCCCAGACUCCUACGGGAGGCAGCAGUGGGGAAUAUUGGACAAUGGGCGAAAGCCUGAUCCAGCAAUGCCGCGUGAGUGAUGAAGGCCUUAGGGUUGUAAAGCUCUUUUACCCGGGAUGAUAAUGACAGUACCGGGAGAAUAAGCUCCGGCUAACUCCGUG
rnacentral:rRNA from 1 species